AGUACGUGAUAAGUGAAGAGCGAUCAUCAUACAGGGUGAUGAUGAAGCUGACCAUCAGACACUUUUCAAGAAGUGACAUCGGUACUUACAACUGUGUGAGCACCAACUCGCUCGGUAAGAGUGAGGGCACGCUCAGACUUUAUGAAAUAAAACUAUACCCCAGUUCCCAAUCGGCUGCUGAAGUUAACAUAGGCGGUCUGACAGAAGGAGCAGUGAAACAAAAAACUGCAUUCAAUAAUUCAGUCAAUUUGUUAUCAAGGACGGUAAAUGUAAUAGUGAUGUUGUUAUUAUUAAUAAUAAUUAUAUAUUAGGAGCUUAUUGUUGUAA